AAUUUCUUGAGUUUAAGAUAUCGUAAAGUUUCUGUCUCUGAAUUAAAACUUAGAAUAAUGAAUUAUGUACUGUCAAGGAUGGAGAACUAACGUGGCAUUGAUCACAGGUUUAUACAUCCACCAAACAUAGCUCUCGUAGACUAAAAUAUCGACUCCUUCCCAUUGUUUGCUGUGAUUAGAUAUUGAAUCGAGCCUGACUAGGCGUUUCAUUACUGUGUGUUUUGUUGCAUGAUCUGAAAUAGACUCGACUAGGAAAGGAGCCCAGUAGAACUCGAUGGACGCAUUGUAUUCCUAUCAUACAGAAACAACAAAAUACUUUUACUUAUCUGAAGAGGCAAUGGCAGAAAAAUAGAACACAGUGCUGGUACCAGGUUCAGGAUCUCCAAUGAGGGUUGCCAUUUCCAGUUCUGAUAUGAUGAAUCAGGCCUCCCAUUUUUUUGGCAAGUCACUUGUUUAACCAAAAGAGGGCAACUUUCUUCUGUGUAGAGUGGGUGUGACUCAUUGUCCCAAACCCACUUCCCUUCAAAUAUAUUGCAACCUUUUUCGAUAGUUUCAUCGUUAGAAACACGAAUGGGCUGUCUUACCACAUGAUAUCCGCCACUUUGUGGCUUAAGAAAGUCACGGGUGUGGUAGCUGUUUUUCAAGCUAUCAAAAACAAUGCGAAGAGACCCAAUGAAAAGAAGUGAAGCGAGUGCAGCAGGGAUAAGGUAUCGAUUCCGCUGAUUGGCUGAGGGUAAAGUUGUCAUGUUUGGGGUGGUUUAUGGUAGUUAAAUGGCAUGUAGCGUUUAUAUCUCUGUCUAUUAUAAGUGAGAUUUUUUUCGCCUUGAGAUUCAAGCAAUUGAUAACUACUAACUUCAUGUAACAACCGGUUGGUACUUAGUUAGGCUUCAAGUAUGGUGUUUGUAUGUCUUAAUGAGGUUUGUUCAAGAAAGCAUCUUUGUUUUUAUAUUCAUACAUCAUUUUCAAAAAAUGAAUGAAACCACCAUAGGUGUUACAUCUC